UCCGCUCCUCUCCGCUCCUCUCCGCUCCCGCUCCGCUCCCGCUCCGCUCCCGCUCCGCUCCCGCUCCGUUCCCGCUCCGCUCCCGCCGUGCCCCGGAGAUGCUGUCGGGGCUGCGCCGCCGCCUCCCCCCCCCGGAAGCGACCCACGGCGGCGGAUCCGACGUCGGGCUCUGCAGGAGAUCGUCGCCGGGGCUGCCUCUUUUCCUUUGGUCGCCGUGUGUGUGCCGGACACCUCUGGCAGGACUAACCCUGUGGCUUUUAUGUCCAACGUGCUGUAUGCCUGCAGCAUCCUGUCCGAGACAAAGCUACCUUUCUUUCCUCGUGGGAAUGGACCGGCCGGGCUUUGGCAAUCUGUCCCCUCGAAAGACAAAGUGACCUCUUCCAACAGGGGAAGACUGAAGCAAGGGGUGCCAGGAAGAACUGGAGUCUCUGGAGAAUAAAAGCUGGAAGCGUGCCCCCGAAAGUCCCCAGCCCCGGGUGGUCAGUGGUCUGACUUGCAUGGACCGGUGGCCUUGGCCAGGAGCGGUCCUGCCGGCCUGUACUUUGAAUUUCCUGCCCAGGCUGUAAUUUUAAUUUCCACUGGGUGCUGGCAAAGCCCCCCUGGGGGUGAGCCCCAGUGCCUGGCAUGAGCGGAGCAGGCUUGCAGGGAGGUGUUCACCCGGUCAGCGUCAGGAACCAUCCUAACUGAGGCCUCGGCUGCCUCUUUCCCUUCGGUCGCCGUGGACACUGUGCCAGACACCUCUGGCAGGACUAACCCUGUGGCUUUUAUGUCCAACGUGCUGUAUGCCUGCAGGUAAGAAAAGCUGGGAGUGCAGUCCCUCUGCUUUGGUUGCUGUGUCUCUUUGGGAGUUAUUUUGGAGGGGAAUGAGAGAGCGAUUUGGUUUGAAGGGGACCUUCAAAGGCCACCCUGCCUUCCGUGGGCAGGGGCACCUUCC